AGUGCAACAGCCAGAGUGGUGCUUCAUAAAAGCAAUUCCAACUACUGAGUUUGUUAGAAACUGGCAUAUGUAUUCUACAGAACUUUGGAUUGAACAAAAUAAAAUAGACAAUGAGAUAGUUAAUGAAUUACCUGAUUUGAGACAAGCUGGUAUAUUGUUGAGAGAUCAGUUAGAACUAUCAAAGGAGCAAAUAAAGUUAAAAUGUGAUUGGAAUGUUAUGUAUUACUCCUUUAAAGUUUAAUGAAAGCGAGUAUGGUUGGGAAAAGAUAAAAAUGCAUUUGAUGGGUCACCCUUACUCUUCUCAAAUGAUUUAUGAUUUACAGCAAGAAAUUAAGAAUUGUUAAAUGUUACCUGAUAUGACAAGAAUGGAUGUUAUGGAAAGCCUUGCAGAUACUAUAGCCUCAUUCAACCCUGCACAUCACUUUAACAGAUUUCUUGUUUUAGCAAGGGUUAUUCUUUUGCUGGCAACAGUAACCUUAUUGGCUUUAAGAUGUGUUUUGAUUUACUUACAUAGAUUGUAAAACAGAACAAUAGAGAAAAGGCUGUAUUUGCUGUGAAGCUACAUAACCUCCAAAAUAAUUAAUUGUUGCAUGUAAAAAGGGGGAUAUGUUGGGAGAAUUUCUGCAGAACUGCAGCUGGUUUGAUUCCUGAGUGUUAGCACCUAGCUUUGAUCUGCCUUUUGUGAUUGCUACCUCCUGUCUGCAUUAUCUCCUGUUUGAAGUCUUAUCUGAGAGUUUGCUAGGAGUUCAAAGCCUAUGAAAACUUGGUUCAGGGACACCCCAGAAAACUGUAGUAUUCCUUUACUGAGAAUUUGCAUUUGGCAUUGUCCCAUUGAGGGGCUUAGAUAAGAGGUAUAAGGAAUUGACUUGCUAAAGUUGUGAAUUGCAUAACAAUAAAAGGGUCCUUUGCUUAUCUACAGUGUUUCAGUUCAGAGAGAUGGACCCCCUCUGAAUGUGAUAAAGUCUAAAAUCAUUAUUAGAGUGCUCUGUGCCUUCUUUCUUUGAGCCCCAUGAACACACAUCCAAUAUACCACAGUUUCUCUUAGGAAAAGGAGAUUGAGUGAAUAGCACCUGGAUUGUUAAGGCUGAUGUUAUCUCCACCUUCAGAUCCUAUUCCUGGUCUGAGCCAGGGCCUCCACCAUCACAUCUACAAGUGGCCAGCAUGAAGAGAAUCAAAGCAAAGGGCCCCCUCUUCCCUUCUCAAAAGCAGAAAUUUAGCCUUGAGCAGGUUCUGCCAGGGAAGAAACUGAGGUUCAAGGGGGGAAAUGCACUCGGCCUUGGCCACAUUGUCAUUGGGGAUCCUAGGGCUUACAGGCAGUCUCAAGUGCUCCCUCAUGCUCAUUCUCAGCCCUGAGCCCAGCUGUCUUCCUGAACACUGGAAAUCCCAAGCUCAUGUUUCUGACUUUGUACCUGUUCCUGACUUUAUGACAGAUACAGUCUCUUCCUCCCUCUGCAUGAACUCUGGAAGCAGUACAUCCACGACCUGUGCAACAGGCUCAAGCCAGACAUGCAGCCACAGAUGAUUCAGGCCAAGCACAUAAAGGCAAAUCUUCAUGGUGCUAUUAUCUCAGUCAUGAAAUCCAAGUGACCCUCUUAUUGGGGGGACACAGGAAUCCUUCCGCAGGAGACAAGGCAUGUCUUCAAGACCAUCACCGAAGAAGACAACCUAGGGUGUCUUCUAUUUUUGUCCCUAGGGUGUUGGAUAUAUAUCUCCAGUGAGGCUCCCAAGUUCCACUUGGCUGUGGAGUCACACAAGCUGCAGGUGCUUGCUAUGUUAUGAACUCCAGAGAGAGGCCCCUGCAUCUCUGGCUCCCAGGAGACAUCUAUGAAUACAGCAGCCUGUUCAUAAACAGGACAGAAGAAUGGCUUGGCUGGGUCUUGGUCCCAGGGUUGUUCAAGGUCUCUACCUGUCAAUGUCAUUGAAGGGGCCUCCCACACAGCAGGGGCUCCCUUCCAGACCCUGGAUUAGGUACAAAGCACACCCAAACACCAGUUUUCACAGAGAGAUAGUCUGUUAAGCUGGGAAGAAAUGUUGAAGUGGCUGCUUUCUGAUUCAGGCAGAAAAACAGCAUCAAAUGACUUUGCAGGUGUCUCUUAAGAAGAUAAAAGGACAGGUUUGUGUUAGAAUGAGCUGGGAUGCAUUCAUAUAGGAGAUAGAUUAUGAGGGAGAUGAGGAAGGGAAGGACAGGGUUAUUUAUCCCAGAAGGACAAAGUACUGUCUCUGGAUAGAAAGGAGACAGCCAUGGAACAUAGGCAAAUGCCUGGUUAUAAAGCUGUUAUUCUGAGUUGUUUAAUUUUAAUUGGACAUGUUAAUUAGUUGAGCCAAAGGGGGCUUCUGAUGGCUGGACUUUGGUUGUCAGCCUUAGGAGGAAGAAGUGGCCAAAUAGGUGACUAGACCUUGAUGGCUAGCUUUAGGAGUGUAAUCUAAGGAUUUUUAGCAAGGAAGAAGGAAUAGGGGAGAAGGGCAAGGCCUGUCAGAGACACAUGCUUUAGUGGGCUAGUGUCCUUUCAGUCACCAUCUCUCAAAUGUAUAACUAAAAGGCACAGAGGAGGAACCAAAACAGCCUGCCCCUGGAGUUCUGAAAACUGUACCCUUUCUGGAGACACUCUGAGUUUUAACAUGGUUAGCACUGCUCUAAGCAGGUACUUUUGAAUCUUCUGAGAUAACUGUACCUGACCUUGCCCACAAAUCCAAAGUUGAAACAACCAUUAGGGGGUUUUGUACUGAUUCAUCUGUUGAUGCUGGAGAUCAAGCCCAGGACCUCUGUCUGCUAAUCCUGUGCUCUGCACCUGAACUGUUAUGCCCCAGAUCUCAGGCACCCCUAAAUGACCACCAUGGAGACUGAAUCACAUAUUUAAAAAUAAAGAGCAUUUAUUUCAAGCUCAA